rnacentral:ncRNA from 2 species
GUGGAGAGCAUGGUCACCUCUCGGUGACUUGAGAUAGGGUGCUGCUGGCCUGCCUUUUCCCCAGAGCUCCAGAUGGGCCUCAGGACAGUUGGUAGCAGCUCCCUACUGGUCCAGAGAGCCAGGCUGGCCGUGGUCCGGCCCCG